GUGAGUAGUUCAGAGUUUGAUCCUGGCUCAGGACGAACGCUGGCGGCGUGCCUAACACAUGCAAGUCGAGCGGGGACUUGGGAGCUUGCUCCUGGGUUCUAGCGGCGGACGGGUGAGUAACGCGUGAGCAACCUGCCUCUUACUGGGGGAUAACGCAUCGAAAGAUGUGCUAAUACCGCGUAAGACCACGGAGUCGCAUGGCUCAGGGGUCAAAGGAGCAAUCCGGUAAGAGAUGGGCUCGCGUCCGAUUAGCUAGUUGGUGAGAUAACGGCCCACCAAGGCGACGAUCGGUAGCCGACCUGAGAGGGUGAUCGGCCACAUUGGAACUGAGAUACGGUCCAG
rnacentral:rRNA from 1 species